CACACAAAAUGCUUAAGGAGUAAAAUGUGU
rnacentral:piRNA from 1 species